CCGUGUCAUCACACCUUUGUUGCUUUGGCGGGCCCGCCUCGGCCACCGGCUCCGGCUGGUGAGCGCCCGCCAGAGGACCCCAAACUCUGAAAUUUAGUGUCGUCUGAGUACUAUAUAAUAGUUAAAACUUUCAACAACGGAUCUCUUGGUUCUGGCAUCGAUGAAGAACGCAGCGAAAUGCGAUAAGUAAUGUGAAUUGCAGAAUUCAGUGAAUCAUCGAAUCUUUGAACGCACAUUGCGCCCCUUGGUAUUCCGGGGGGCAUGCCUGUUCGAGCGUCAUUACAACCCUCAAGCUCUGCUUGGUAUUGGGCGUCCCCGGCGACGGGGUGCCCUAAAAUCAGUGGCGGUGCCGUCUGGCUCUAAGCGUAGUAAAUCUCUCGCUCUGGAUGCCCGGUGGAUGCUCGCCAGAACCCCCCAUUUUUUACAGGUUGACCUCGGAUCAGGUAGGGAUACCCGCUGAACUUAAGCAUAUCAAUAA
rnacentral:rRNA from 1 species